rnacentral:rRNA from 1 species
AGAGUUUGAUCCUGGCUCAGGAUUAACGCUGGCGGCGUGCCUAAUACAUGCAAGUCGAACGGAAGUACCUUCGGGUACUUUAGUGGCGAACGGGUGAGUAAUACAUAGGUAACCUACCCUUAAGACGAGGAUAGCCAUUGGAAACGAUGGAUAAAACUGGAUAGGAUAUAGAGGAAGAAUCUUUUAUAUUUAAAAGAGAGAUCUGCUUAAGGAGGGGCCUGUGGCGCAUUAGCUAGUUGGUGGGGUAAGGGCCUACCAAGGCGAUGAUGCGUAGCCGGACUGAGAGGUUGAACGGCCGCAAUGGAACUGAGAACGGUCCAUACUCCUACGGGAGGCAGCAGUAGGGAAUUUUCGGCAAUGGGGGGAACCCUGACCGAGCAACGCCGCGUGAACGAAGAAGUUAUUCGUAAUGUAAAGUUCUUUUAUCAGGGAAGAAAGAGGAAUUUGACGGUACCUGAGGAAUAAGCUCCGGCUAACUACGUG